rnacentral:rRNA from 1 species
AGCGAACGCUGGCGGCAGGCCUAACACAUGCAAGUCGAACGGGCACCUUCGGGUGUCAGUGGCAGACGGGUGAGUAACGCGUGGGAACGUGCCCAUCGGUUCGGAACAACCCAGGGAAACUUGGGCUAAGACCGGAUACGUGCGAGAGCAGAAAGAUUUAUCGCCGAUGGAUCGGCCCGCGUCUGAUUAGCUUGUUGGUGGGGUAACGGCCCACCAAGGCGACGAUCAGUAGCUGGUCUGAGAGGAUGAUCAGCCACACUGGGACUGAGACACGGCCCAGACUCCUACGGGAGGCAGCAGUGGGGAAUAUUGGACAAUGGGCGCAAGCCUGAUCCAGCCAUGCCGCGUGAGUGAUGACGGCCCUAGGGUUGUAAAGCUCUUUCGCACGCGACGAUAAUGACGGUAGCGUGAGAAGAAGCCCCGGCUAACUUCGUGCCAGCCGCCGCCGUAACAC